UACGGGGGGGGCAAGCGUUGUUCGGAAUUACUGGGCGUAAAGGGCUCGUAGGUGGCCAACUAAGUCAGACGUGAAAUCCCUCGGCUUAACCGGGGAACUGCGUCUGAUACUGGAUGGCUUGAGUUUGGGAGAGGGAUGCGGAAUUCCAGGUGUAGCGGUGAAAUGCGUAGAUAUCAGGAAGAACACCCGUGGCGAAAGCGGCUCUCUGGAACGGUACUGACGCUGAGACGCGAAAGCGUGGGGAGCGAACAGG
rnacentral:rRNA from 1 species